UGGGGAAUCUUGGACAAUGGGGGAAACCCUGAUCCAGCGAUGCCGCGUGUGUGAAGAAGGCCUUCGGGUUGUAAAGCACUUUAGGUGGGGAAGAAAGGUAACGNNNCGAAUAACUCGUUGCUAUGACGGUACCCGCAGAAUAAGCACCGGCUAACUCUGUGCCAGCAGCCGCGGUAAUACAGAGGGUGCAAGCGUUAAUCAGAAUGACUGGGCGUAAAGGGCGUGUAGGUGGUUGACUAGGUUUGAUGUGAAAUCCCCGGGCUUAACCUGGGAAUUGCGUCGAAAACGGGUCGACUCGAGUGAGAUAGAGGGUUGUGGAAUUUCCGGUGUAGCGGUGAAAUGCGUAGAUAUCAGGAGGAACACCGGUGGUGUAAACGGCUUUCUGGACCAUAACUGACGCUGAGGCACGAAAGCGUGGGUAGCAAACAGGAUUAGAUACCCUGGUAGUCCACGCCCUAAACGAUGCAUAUUUGGUGUGGGUCAUUCAGUUGAUCCGUGCCGGAGCUAACGCGUUAAAUAUGCCGCCUGGGGAGUACAGUCGCAAGGCUG
rnacentral:rRNA from 1 species